CAGAUUAUUCAACUCCCAUAUUUGUGAAAUAAAAAAUAAAAUUAUCAUAUCCUAACAACUGACCAUUCAACACAUUAUCAAUUUUAGCAUUGAAAUGUCUUUUCCCCCAUUUUCCUCAUCAGCACAAAUGUUACUGUUGAUGUUAUCAACGAUAUCCAUGACCACAUCUUUUUUGUUUGUUUCUUUUUUUUCAACAUCUGCAGUUGUUGCUUCUUUCUCACCUUGUUCUCCUUCUUUUUUAGCAUCUGCACCAGCAACUACUUCUUCUCACCUUGUUCUACGUUAUUUUUAACAUCUGCAGCAACAGCUACUUUUUUCUCAGUUUUCUUUUCUUUCUCAGUUUCUUCUUUUUCUUCACCUGCUACUUCUUUGUCAGCUUCUUCUUCGUCUUCUUCUUCAUCAACUGUUGUUGCUUCUUUUUUAGCCUUUUCUUUUUCUUUUUCUUUUUCUUCUUCUUCUUCUUCCUUCUUUUCUUUUUUUCCUUUUCUACCACAAUAGUGGCCAACUCAUCUAUUUUGCUCCAUUUUUCUCCUUUUUCAUUCCUCUCUGAUUCAUAAAGGUCCACAUGCACUAUAUUAUCAUAUUACAAAGUGUUGCUGAUAAUUAAAGCAGAGAAUGCAUUAACUACAUCAAUUAUUAAAUGAAGUUACCUUGCUCAUAUUGUUGCUCAUCCUUUUCUUAUUUUCUUCAGUCUUUUCUCUUUGAUAUAGGCAGCAAUAUCCAACACCGCUUCUUGAGCAUAGCAACACGCUU
rnacentral:lncRNA from 1 species